CUGCUUUAGCAACAACCUCAAACUGUUGGGGCUUUUAAAAUUAUUUCAACAAUCCAUUGGAUCCAACUUUUGUGGUAAGGAUUCCCAUCUGACACCCAAGAGUGAAAUAAACCAUACCCUCCUACUCCAUAAGCAAUCUCUAAACACAUGGUCAAUUCCAAUCCCUUAUUACACCUCGGGAUCUACUACUUCUUAUUCUUGAGUUUGGUUUUUACUAUUCCUACAAGACCUUCAAUCGCCACUCGCCACGUGUACUGCUUUUUCAAGGUUUUUCUUUUCCAAGUGGAGCCUCGCAAACGACAUCGUUUUUCAAUCUUCAGCAUUCUUUCUCCCCAUCUCCAAUCAACCUAGCUGGCUUAACGUGUUCAUCUCCCUUUCCCCUACCCACUCUGCAGUACCAUUCAUCACCUUCUUUUACUUGAUUCUUCUCCCACAGCUUGCGUUUUCUCCACAUCAAUCCAUCAAUUGAUGGCUUUCCCCGAUCUUUGGCGUCUUUCCAUGGCUUUUCCGGCGCUACCCAUCACUUCCCGCUGUCAACCAAUGCGUGGAUGUGUCACAGCUGUCAAUUAGUGGUUAUGGAGCAUUUCAAAAUGGAAUACACUUCAGUGCUAAAUAAUAUUCCUAUGGAAUGUGAUGGACGAAUCACAAAUAAUGGGAAAGAAUUGAAGAGAGGCAUAAAAGCAAGGAGAAAAGAAAGGGAUAAAAGAGUUUUCUUCGAUUGCAAGAUUAUCAAGGAAUCAAAUGCUUAGAGAUUGUCAAUAGAUGAGGCAGAAUCAAUCAUGCAGCACUUGAUGACCUUGGUUCAAUUUACAGCUUAGCAUGUUCUAUAUGCAAGACGUGUUACGGAGUUUUAAAUUUCAAAGUGAGCCCAAGCAUGCAAAUAUAGCCAAUGAUGUGAGGGUGGAUGGUAUGCUUCCUUAUAGUGCAAUAUUAUCAUUGUUUGUGUAUGUAUGUGCACAUGUGUAAGUGACUGAGUGAGUGAUAGAGAGAAAGGUACUUUGAUAGUUUUUGUUAGCAUUUGAAUGUGCUUUUGCUACACAUUUGUAUUUACCAAAUUUAUUAAUGGUCUGAUUUAGGAGCUUCCAAGGACCAUACCACACUAGGAAAUAUAUUGAAAAUCUUUCACACAAAAGAAUGUCUUUUUAGCUCGAUACAAAAUUGGCUUUCUAUUUACUUUAGCAACUUUGAUAAUAUGUUCAUAUGGUUGCUACUUUCCAUCAUAUGAUCCACAGGUGUAAUUGCCUAUGUGAAUUUGUAGAUUUGCUACUCUCUGCAUAAUUCUCAAGUAGUACUGUUCACUUCACUCAUAACUUUGCUUUUAUGGGGUGCAUUCUUUUCUCUUUUUAUUUAUGUUAAUCUAUAUUUUCAAAGGAUGGGGUUAGCUGGGUGGUUUGUCAGUAACAAACUAUAUCCUCAGUUAAGUUUUUUCACUUUUUGAAAAAAGAAUUGCACUAUGGGAUGAUUAAAAGAAAGAGCCAAUCCACUCUUCAAUAAGUACAUCAAACAUUAUAUUAAUCCCUACAACAGACUGUUUAUAGUAAUAGCUUAUAUAGUUGACAGUGGCAUCAUGUUGUUUAAAUUGUUUGCUUAAAGCUUAUGGGAUGAAGCAUUAUUAUGAAUCCUUUGGUAACAGCUCUUUUUCUUAUUUUUAUGUGAUUAGUGUGCACUGUUUUUGCAAAACCUAUGUACAAAGUUUCAGUAUAUGUUUGCCCAAGGAAACUGAGGGAUGGGGUGAAGGAUUGGUGUCUCUUUAAUAAUGUUCUCUUGGUCAAAUGUAGAUGAAGAUUGCUACUUGAAAGGGAUAGCCUUUGAUGCUAAGUAUACCCUGGUGGUGAGGGGAGCUUAGAAGUUCCUGUAAACGCAUCAGUGUGGUGAAGGUAUUCAAUAGCAAAGACCAUGGUGUCAUUACCACUAGCUGCUCACCAUAAAUUUCAUUUUCAUAACACCUUUCAAUACUAAUUUGCAAGUCUUUGCAUGACUGUUUUAUUCAAGUUAGAAGAUUACUAUUGCUUGGUGUCCACUUCCAAUUUGGUGUAAAUUGAUGUGAAUCUUUGGUUUUUGGUUAUCUUUCCCAAUUUGUUUGGUAAUAAAUUUUCCAUAUAAACAACACAAGGCUUAACUAGAGAAUCUUGGGUGACUUUGUCAUAAUAAAAAUGCCAGUGAUGUGAAUCUCAGGAAUUUUAUGUCAAAUCCCUAUA